CCUACGGGAGGCUGCAGUAGGGAAUCUUCCACAAUGGGCGCAAGCCUGAUGGAGCAACACCGCGUGAGUGAAGAAGGGUUUCGGCUCGUAAAGCUCUGUUGUUGGAGAAGAACGUGCGUGAGAGUAACUGUUCACGCAGUGACGGUAUCAAACCAGAAAGGCACGGCUAACUCCGGGCCAGCAGCCGCGGUAAUACGUAGGUGGCAAGCGUUAUCCGGAUUUAGUGGGCGUAAAGCGAGCGCAGGCGGUUGCUUAGGUCUGAUGUGAAAGCCUUCGGCUUAACCGCAGAAGUUCAUCGGAAACCGGGCAACUUGAGUGCAGCAUAGGCCAGUGGAACUCCAUGUGUAGCGGU
rnacentral:rRNA from 1 species